rnacentral:siRNA from 1 species
UUGAAGGAACCUAGAAGAUGCUGC